rnacentral:tRNA from 3 species
GCCGAUGUAGCUCAGAGGUAGAGCACUCGAUUCGUAAUCGAGCGGUCGUGAGUUCAAAUCUCAUCAUCGGCU